GCGCGGCACCUUCUUUUUUGCCCCCCCCCUCCCCCCCCCUCGUGUGCGUGUAGCACAGUAGAACGUAGUACCGACGCGCCACUGCCAUGCAGGCACAGGUGCAGUUGCGACGGCUUCUCCGCCGCGCGUGCACACCGGGGGUGCUGUCGAGUAAUCAGGCCGGUAUGGCGGUUCACGCUCUUCGUCAGCUCGACUUGCUCUACGUGUCCUCGAGCUCACCAGCGCUUAACGCUCUCCCUAUAGUGAGGCAACUGUGCGGCGGCGCUGAUGCACGCUCGCAGGCAAACAUGCUGCACGCGCUGGCUGCUGCUGUCAGUGAGACCUGUGACUUUCGCACCGUGUUGAACGCGGAUCUGCAAAGCACUGUGCAGUGUGUGCAGGCGGAGCUGGUGGAAGUGGCCGACUCGCUCACCGCCACGGAAACUGUGUUGGUCAUGGAGGCGCUGCUGAAGUUGAGACCCUACGUCGGCUGUGACGCCUGCGCGCCGCUCGUGAAUUCGCGACUGUUAGAGGAGGUUCGGGAGCGGACGAUGGCGCUGGCGAGCGUCGUCGAGCGGCCUGUGGACCUGCUUGGUGUGACGCGGGUCAUUGUCGAAGCCGCCUCCUCGACCUCGGCUGCCGCGGGGGAUGCACCCCAUGGCGGUAGGCCGAGCGUGGGCAGCUUUGAAUGGGCAUCUUUUUCGCUGGAGCAUGUUUUGCGCGUGGUGCAGGCUCGUCUCAGCACCUUCAGCAAGCAGGAGCUCAUCUCGCUGGUCGAUGUGCUGACGGUGCGGCGACGGCCGGCUUCAAGUGACGGCGCUACCUCCUCUUCACCAUCCUCAUCCUCUGUGCCAUCGAUACCGUUCCACCGUGAGAAAAGCCGCGGCGCGGCUACUUCGACGGGGAAGGAUGCUGAGACGGCAGCCGACACGCCACCGGAGGCGGCCGAUGGGGCCAUGCUGCUGGACGCCAGCCGUCCUCUUAUUCCGGAUCUAAUUGCAUGCGCACUCACCACCGUACCAUCACUGUCCGUCUCGCAGCUGUGCGCGUGGCUCACGCGUCUGACGACGCUUCGACUCACAGACAACGCACUUCUUCUGGCCGUUUUGCAGGGCUUGGGAAAUGCCGAUGUUCAGCACUUCACGGUGCCUCAGCUGGCCAGUGGCGCCAGCGCGCUCGCAGAUCUUCUGUCGCUGACUUCGGUGCGAGGUCAAUCGUGGGUGCAUGCUGGGCUGUGUCUGCGCCUUUACGCACGACUGCUGCACCGCCUCUCUUCAGUUCUCUACGAUGCCGGUCGCAACGACCCCGCUGUCGUGCAUCACGCACAGACACGUUUGCUGCCGCUACUCGGCACGAUUCCCGAGGCGGCGCUGGAUGAAUACAUCGACAACGACAUGCCAAAAAGCGCAGGGCACGUUGACGGGGGUUCCGGGGAAAAGUCGAAACCGGCGGCGCCAGCCACCGCGGUGCGGGCACACGUUCUCAACUUGUGCACCACGCUUGCAAACGCCAUCGAGAAGUCCGCGUCGGUGUUGCUCCGCUUCAUGGCAGAGCUGUCCUCGCGCGAGCAAGCGAGCGUUGCCGCUGCUGUCUUCUACUGGCGUGUCUACACGCCCUGCGCCACCGACGUGCCCGGCGCGUUGACAGUGGCAGCGGCAUCGCAGCCUUUCAUCGCCUUUGAUGCAGACGGUCAAGCUACCCUCAAGUCCAGGGAUGUGCUGCAGCGCUGCUCUCCGCUGACGCUGGCCGACACGGCGCGCAAGCACCGCGCCUUGUGUGGGCUGAUUAUGACCUGCAGCGCCGGCUUCACGGCAAGGGAUUGCGUGCAUGUGCUCAACGAACUCGUCGUGGCACACUAUACCGAUCAAGCUCUGCAGAUGCGUCGCCAACAAGAGCAGCAGGAGCAGUGCGGUCUCUGUUCUUCGGCGGCGGAUUUGAGCAGUGCGCCAGAGACGCAACCUAGGCUGCGUGAGUCUGUUGUGCGCGCAGUCGCUGAGGAGCGGCAAGUCCUCAUGAAACUGCUCAAUGAGCAGCUGCAAGGGCCGCUGCAGGGCACUCUCGGGGAGGUGCACACAUCCCAGCUCGUCCGCUACUUGUCUUCUCUGUCGAGGAUGGGUGUGGGUGCCAAGGCACCCUACAUCACAGUGAUGGACCACCUGAAGGGCCGCUCUCUGUCGAGCUUCGAGCAGGUGAGUGUGAUGGUGGUGGUGGCCCGCCAUCACGUCAAGUCCCGCCACGUUGUGCACGGCGUCGUUCGCGCUCUGCCGGAGCUUGGCACGGCGCUGAGUUCUGCCGCGAAGGUGACGUUGCUGAAGAGCCUCGGGCAAGUGAACGGCCAGCGAUUUGUCAAGGCGCCGUGCGACGGGACUCUGGUGCCCGGGAAGUUUUUUCCCACGAUGGAGGAGCUCACGCGCCUCACGCUUCUGCAGCUGGUGUUCUGCUUCAACGGCCUCAUCGAACUACGCCAGUACGAGAAUCCAGCGGUGCAGGCGGUGCUGGCAGAGAUUGGCAAGCGGCUGUGCACCCCGCCGCUGCGGCCAAGCGACUCCUUCCGCUCCAUCAACUCCGCAACGUCUCUGGCGGAGUUUCUCGCGUCCCUCUGCCGCUUUGGGGGCCCUGCAGACGGGGUCUCGACAACUCUACUGCUGGAGACGAUGCGGGCACUGGAGCAGCGGCUUGUCACGUCACGCUCUCUCUUCGUUGACCUCGCCCGGCUGAACUGGUACUGGCCAUGUGUGAAGGAGUACUUUCACCUGUCUUCGGUGCUGUGGACCGGCUCCGCGUCAUCGACGCAGGAUACGCAACGGGGUACAGUAACGCCAGGCGCUGGGCAGUGGGCUUUCACGGUGAAGGAGUGGACUCAUCUGACGAGAGCGUUUGCGCAGCUGAUCGAAACCGCCGGUGCGCGUGUCGCCGAGCGGCUACAGGACAUUGCCCGGUCGCCGAGCCUGCGGCCAAACACCUUCUUGUGGGGUCAAAUGGUGUGCGGGCUGCGGUUCAGCGGAAUGCCGCCGCGUGGAAGUGCAGAGGAAGCGCGUCUGGUGGCAAACCUGGAGCAGACGAGGAUGCUGCCGCUGCUCGGAAACCCGCAGCAGCUGCUCGACAUCACCGUGCUCGCUCUCCACUUCGCCGCGGAAGGACGAGAGGCAGAGGCGGUGCCGGCGCUACGGUUCGUUCAGAAGAAGAUGGGUGCGAUGCGGGUACAGGACUGCCUGCAGGUGUGGUGGUACACGUCGCAACUGUUGUCAGCGCCCACGGCAUCGGCCGCCGCUACGCCAUUGGGCAAGGUGACGUCACCGCCACGGAACGGCGAGAGGAAGGUGCAGGUAACGGGCACAAAAUCCUCCGUCGAAACGAUACCGCUGUCGGAGAGAGCUCGUCUUGUGCUGCAGGAGGUGCGCGAUACUGCAAAGGACCAGGUCCUCCACGAGGAAAAGGCGACCAUGAAGAAGCUCAGCACUAUGGAGAAGCGGCUGCUGAAGUCUUUGCAGUGAGCACACGGCACACUCGUGUGCACGCGAAGGCUCGCAUGGUUGCAUUGGCGCACGCGUGUGCGCCUGCGUGGGACUGGCGCACUGCGAGACGAGCACCCCUCCCUUCCCCCUCCCCCUGCUCACGUGGGACACAAGCUACACGAACAGCUACUCACCCAUCGCCACACACACAUGCACACACGCGCCCGCAGGCACUCCACCAAGUGCGUCCUCUCUUGUUUUCGUUCGGCCGCAUCUUCGGCCACCGUCGCACGCGUGCUGCUCUUCACGCAACCGCGACCACAGCAGCGAUGCAACCGAGCGAAAAGACGCGCAGCACGAAGUUGUGGGCCCGGCUUGAAGAAGAGCGCAUGGAAAUCGACGGAGAAGAUGACUGCGAGAGGAGAGGAGAAGAGGGGCGGGACAGGCGAAAGCUCUUGUCGGCUCCGCUCUUUCAUGAGGGGGUGACUCGCGGCCCAUGCGCGCCCCAAGGAGGCUUGCAUGCUGGACCGCCCAGCUCCCCGCGACAAGCCACCGCUCGCUGGCCUCCUCUG
rnacentral:misc_RNA from 1 species